CCUACGGGAGGCAGCAGUGGGGAAUAUUGCACAAUGGGGGAAACCCUGAUGCAGCGAUGCCGCGUGGAGGAAGAAGGUUUUCGGAUUGUAAACUCCUUUUAUCAGGGACGAUAAUGACGGUACCUGAAGAAAAAGCUCCGGCUAACUACGUGCCAGCAGCCGCGGUAAUACGUAGGGAGCGAGCGUUGUCCGGAAUUACUGGGUGUAAAGGGUGCGUAGGCGGCCUGCUAAGUCUGGAGUGAAAGGUACCGGCUCAACCGGUACAGGCUCUGGAAACUGGCGGGCUAGAGAGCAGGAGAGGGCGG
rnacentral:rRNA from 1 species